rnacentral:rRNA from 1 species
GACGAACGCUGGCGGCGUGCCUAAUACAUGCAAGUAGGACGCAGUUGCGAACGGGUGAGUAACGCGUAGGUAACUGCCUAUUAGAGGGGGAUAACUAUUGGAAACGAUAGCUAAUACCGCAUAUUAGUAGAUGGACCUGCGUUGUAUUAGCUAGUAGGUAGGGUAAUGGCCUAACUAGGCGACGAUACAUCGCCGACCUUAGAGGGUGAUCGGCGAAAAUGGGACUGGGAAAAGGCCCAGGCUCCUACGGGAGGCAGCCGGAGGGAAUCUUCGGAAAUGGGGGGAACCCUGACCGAGCAACGCCGCGUGAGUGAAGAAGGUUUUCGGAUGGGAAAGCUCUGUUGUUAAGGAAGCGGUACUUAACCAGAAAGGGACGGCUAACUACGUGCCAGCAGCCGCGGUAAUUC